rnacentral:ncRNA from 1 species
CUUGUGUGCGACCACAAGUAGCCUACGGUGACGUGCAGGACCAGUAAUGGGUCUGUGCGAAGCUCACCUGACAAUGCUCCCUACGUUUGUAGCGAAGGCAAUCCGUGAGGAUGUCUUUGGAAAUUGCCAGCAGAAGGGCGGUGAAGGG